rnacentral:rRNA from 1 species
AUUGAACGCUGGCGGCAUGCUUUACACAUGCAAGUCGAACGGUAACAGGCCGCAAGGUGCUGACGAGUGGCGAACGGGUGAGUAAUGCAUCGGAACGUGCCCAGUCGUGGGGGAUAACUACUCGAAAGAGUAGCUAAUACCGCAUACGAUCUAUGGAUGAAAGCGGGGGACCGUAAGGCCUCGCGCGAUUGGAGCGGCCGAUGUCAGAUUAGGUAGUUGGUGGGGUAAAGGCUCACCAAGCCAACGAUCUGUAGCUGGUCUGAGAGGACGACCAGCCACACGGGGAUGGAAAAAGGCCGCGGCCCCCAGGGGGGGGGGAGAGGGGGAAUUUGGGAAAAGGGGGGGCAGGCUUGCUCCAGAAAUGCGGCGGGGAGGAAGAGGGCUUUGGGUUGUUAACUUGUUUUUGUCGGGAAGAAAACGGCUUUGGUUAAUCCCGGGGGAAAAGGACGGUACGGAAAGAAAAAGCACCGGCUACGUCCGUG